GACGAACGCUGGCGGCGUGCUUAACACAUGCAAGUCGAACGGAAAGGCCCUGCUUUUGUGGGGUGCUCGAGUGGCGAACGGGUGAGUAACACGUGAGUAACCUGCCCUUGACUUUGGGAUAACUUCAGGAAACUGGGGCUAAUACCGGAUAGGAGCUCCUGCUGCAUGGUGGGGGUUGGAAAGUUUCGGCGGUUGGGGAUGGACUCGCGGCUUAUCAGCUUGUUGGUGGGGUAGUGGCUUACCAAGGCUUUGACGGGUAGCCGGCCUGAGAGGGUGACCGGCCACAUUGGGACUGAGAUACGGCCCAGACUCCUACGGGAGGCAGCAGCGGGGAAUAUUGCACAAUGGGCGGAAGCCUGAUGCAGCAACGCCGCGUGCGGGAUGACGGCCUUCGGGUUGUAAACCGCUUUCGCCUGUGACGAAGCGUGAGUGACGGUAAUGGGUAAAGAAGCACCGGCUAACUACGUGCCAGCAGCCGCGGUGAUACGUAGGGUGCGAGCGUUGUCCGGAUUUAUUGGGCGUAAAGGGCUCGUAGGUGGUUGAUCGCGUCGGAAGUGUAAUCUUGGGGCUUAACCCUGAGCGUGCUUUCGAUACGGGUUGACUUGAGGAAGGUAGGGGAGAAUGGAAUUCCUGGUGGAGCGGUGGAAUGCGCAGAUAUCAGGAGGAACACCAGUGGCGAAGGCGGUUCUCUGGGCCUUUCCUGACGCUGAGGAGCGAAAGCGUGGGGAGCGAACAGGCUUAGAUACCCUGGUAGUCCACGCUGUAAACGGUGGGUACUAGGUGUGGGGUCCAUUCCACGGGUUCCGUGCCGUAGCUAACGCUUUAAGUACCCCGCCUGGGGAGUACGGCCGCAAGGCUAAAACUCAAAGGAAUUGACGGGGCCCCGCACAAGCGGCGGAGCAUGCGGAUUAAUUCGAUGCAACGCGUAGAACCUUACCUGGGUUUGACAUGGAUCGGGAGCGCUCAGAGAUGGGUGUGCCUCUUUUGGGGUCGGUUCACAGGUGGUGCAUGGCUGUCGUCAGCUCGUGUCGUGAGAUGUUGGGUUAAGUCCCGCAACGAGCGCAACCCUUGUUCACUGUUGCCAGCACGUUAUGGUGGGGACUCAGUGGAGACCGCCGGGGUCAACUCGGAGGAAGGUGGGGAUGACGUCAAGUCAUCAUGCCCCUUAUGUCCAGGGCUUCACGCAUGCUACAAUGGCUGGUACAGAGAGUGGCGAGCCUGUGAGGGUGAGCGAAUCUCGGAAAGCCGGUCUCAGUUCGGAUUGGGGUCUGCAACUCGACCUCAUGAAGUCGGAGUCGCUAGUAAUCGCAGAUCAGCAACGCUGCGGUGAAUACGUUCCCGGGGCU
rnacentral:rRNA from 1 species